rnacentral:rRNA from 1 species
AUACGGAGGGUGCGAGCGUUAAUCGGAAUUACUGGGCGUAAAGCGUACGUAGGCGGUUUGCUAAGUCAGAUGUGAAAGCCCCGGGCUUAACCUGGGAACUGCAUUUGAUACUGGCAGACUAGAGUAUGAUAGAGGGGGGUAGAAUUCCUGGUGUAGCGGUGAAAUGCGUAGAUAUCAGGAGGAAUACCAGUGGCGAAGUCGGCCCCCUGGAUCAAUACUGACGCUGAGGUACGAAAGCGUGGGGAGCGAACAGGAUUAGAAACCCUAGUAGUCC